UACAGAGGAGCCAAGCGUUGUCCGGAUUGACUGGGCGUAAAGCGCACGCAGGCGGUCUGGCGCGUGGGGUGUGAAAUCUGGCCGCUUAACGGCCAGGCGCCAUCCCAUACGGCCGGACUGGAGCCUUGCAGAGGUCGGUGGAAUUGCCGGUGUAGUGGUGAAAUGCGUAGAUAUCGGGAGGAACACCAGUGGCGAAGGCGGCUACCUGGCCUGUUCUUGACGCUGAGGCGCGAAAGCUAGGGGAGCAAACGGG
rnacentral:rRNA from 1 species